GGCCCGAUGGUUUAGUGGUAUAAUUCUCGCUUAGGGUGUUUGCGAGAGGUCCCGGGUUCAAUUCCCGGUUGGGCCC